rnacentral:lncRNA from 1 species
GACAGAGUUAAACAAGGGGGGAAACAUUCUCACAGGAAAAAGCAAAAUGUAAGACAUUCAAAUGCAUGCUAAUUUAUUGAUUACACAGAAAUUACAUGAAAAAUAACUGUUUUCCUUUUAUUCGGAAGUAGACAUAACAUGAAACUGACAGUUCACUGUGAACACUGAAUAGCAAGCAAGAAAUGACUUUAACAGGCACAUACAAAUACAUAUAAACAAAAAAAAGAACAAGAAAUGAAGUAGAAUUCCCUAAGCAUGUUAAAUGGCAACCUGGAUGCAAGACCUUUGCAAAUCACAUGGUCACCAAACUCCAGAUAAUUUAGCUCAUGCAUGAUUGAUGGACGAGGAAGAGAAGUCAAUUCCCUAUCCUUUGACCUACUGGUUGCUAUGACAUGAGCAGAUAUGUACACAGCAAGCGGCACUUUCACAUUGACAAACAUCACACUUGAAGGGAACAGAAGAUCAAUAACUACUGCAGAUAAUCAAAUGUAUCCAAACAUAGAACUAGUAGAGUACAUAAUCCCCCCC